ACUUUGAUCUUGCUGAGGGUUCCUUCCUGUGUCUCCUUGGCUGGCGCGCUUCUGUGAAGCGAGUGGCAGCUGUGGGGGGCUCCACGUCCCAGGAACUGAGGGUGGUCUCAGCUGACGGGCAGCGAGGAGCCGCGGCCCUCUGUCCAACAGCCCACGAGGAGCUGAAUUCUGCCAGCAACCAGAAAAAACUUAUUCUGGACCAGCUAAACAACACCUCCUCCAUGAAACCCUCUGAGAUUGAUCCCUGCUGUGGGAUUUCACCAUCUCACUCUCUAUCCUUCCACCCUGUACCACCUGCCAUCCCCUGUGGUUGCCUGCACACAGCGACCCACACCUCACCUUCUUAUUUUACACCCAGGGCAUAUUAGGUCACAGGCAUGCAAUAAAUGUGGGCUGAAUUUA